UUCUGUUAAGCUCGUUAAGCUUUAGUUGUAAUUUCAGUUAAAUAGGAAAGAUGGUGUACACUUGAAUGAAAAACAUAUAUUCUCUCUCCUCAAACACAAAUAAGUAAACACACACACACACAGAGGCAAUGCUGGUGGAGAAAGUGAUAUUCCCUGCACCAUCGGGGCUGAUGAUGGCGAUUAUAGCGAUAACAUUGAUAGGAAUGACGAAUUUAG
rnacentral:lncRNA from 1 species